rnacentral:misc_RNA from 1 species
AAGUCGUAACAAGGUUUCCGUAGGUGAACCUGCGGAAGGAUCAUUAACACGUAUCCAACGUUAAACAACCCCGUGAACCUUCAGCCUGCUCUCGUAGCCCACGCGGCAACAGCAAUCCCGGUAAAUCAUUGACGACCAGUUUUGAUUCGGGACCUCUGUUACGAUGUGAGAAGUUACAGUUACGAUCGAGCGGUAGAGUCAGUGGCAUGGCGUCCCCAAGCAGAAUCCAGAGAAUGAAAGGAUGAUCACCGACCGGCAGACAUGUCACAGGGUCCCCAUGCCCCUUACCUCACCCCAUUACUAAUGACUAGCUUAGCGGUAACGCGCUGAGUAAAAAAAAACCGAACAACUGUUAACAAUGGAUAUCUUGGUUCUC